GGGCAGCCGUGGCGGUGCUGUAACGCAGACCAACGAGCUAUGGUGGAAUGGACCAAAGUGGCUUUCCAAACCCGAGGAAUGGCCUGAAAACGUCAGUACGAAAGCUACCAAAGAAUCACUUGGAGAGGCUAAGAAAGUUCGUGAAUUGUUCAAAUUGGCGACCGAUCAUGAACCAGAUGAGUUCAGUCAACUUAUUGAAAGGCGAAAUUACUGGACGGUGAUUAGAACGUGUGCAUGGAUCGCGAGGUUUGUGCACAACGCGAGAAACAAAAUUAAAAAGGUCGGUCCACUAACUACAGAAGAGAUUGAAGCACAAAAGAAAUUUUGGGAAGAAAGGGCUCAACGACAAGGCGAAGCGAGUGAGAAGUACGAUGCUGACCGAAUGCAACUCAACCUACAGCGUAACCAAUCGGGAUUGUUAGAAUGUCGAGGUAGAGUUCAAGGACUUUAUCCCAUUUACCUUCCAGAUACUGAGAUCUACACAGAGAAAUUCGUACAGCAAGCUCAUGAAGAUACACUCCACGGUGGAGUGGGACUCACGAUGGCAAAAGUUCGCGAAAACCAUUGGGUACCUCGCCUGCGACAGCUAGCGAAACGGCUUAUCAAGAAAUGCCCCAGUUGCAAGAGGUUCCAGAUCACAGCUCUGGCCAGUCCACCACCUGGUUUUCUCCCAAAGGAUCGAACAGAAGGGAACACUGCUUUUCAAGUAGUUGGAGUCGAUUACGCAGGGCCCCUUAAGAUCCGAGUUAAGCAGACGCGAGAAGGAAAAGCAU